UGGGGAAUUUUGGACAAUGGGCGAAAGCCUGAUCCAGCCAUGCCGCGUGAGUGAAGAAGGCCUUCGGGUUGUAAAGCUCUUUUGGUCGGAAAGAAAGAGUUGCAAUGAAUAAUUGUGAUUUAUGACGGUACCGACAGAAAAAGCACCGGCUAACUACGUGCCAGCAGCCGCGGUAAUACGUAGGGUGCGAGCGUUAAUCGGAAUUACUGGGCGUAAAGGGUGCGCAGGCGGUCUUGCAAGUCAGAUGUGAAAGCCCCGGGCUUAACCUGGGAAUUGCGUUUGAAACUACAAGGCUAGAGUGCAGCAGAGGGGAGUGGAAUUCCAUGUGUAGCAGUGAAAUGCGUAGAGAUGUGGAAGAACACCGAUGGCGAAGGCAGCUCCCUGGGUUGACACUGACGCUCAUGCACGAAAGCGUGGGGAGCAAACA
rnacentral:rRNA from 1 species